AUAGAGAGAGAGUGAGAGAGAGAUUAGGAGGGAGGAAGGGAGAUUUAAGAUUAUAGAAGAAGCGUUGCAGAAGUCAGAAAUACGAUCGCUUUUUUGGGAAUAUCUCGGAGAACUUGAGCUGAUGAUGAGAAAUGAUAAUGAUAACCUGGUGAUUUUCCUGUUCCACUAAAAGAAAGUCAUAAAGGAGUGAUUUUUUCUGUCCAAUUCAUCUUUUGAAGAUUCGAAAGGAAGUUUGUAUGAUGGAAACAUCCAGAUCGAGUUAAAUUUCGUCAUUGAGAAUGUGAGGGCUAGUUACGCUCCAAAUUAAAAAUGUUUCACGAAAUGCUUGAUGGAACAGCCCGUAAUUUAGAGAAUGGGAAUAGGUAUGAGGACUAUUCACGCUCUAAACGGAAAGUGUUUGAUGACUGUUGAUUAGUGAUGCUUUUUCUGCCGAUAGACACAAGCAAAAUAAGCACAAAGAAUAACAUUCAUACAAAUUUGUGGUAUUCAGCACGACAACAAUAAAGACACAUCUACACAGAAAACAAACA